rnacentral:rRNA from 1 species
UACGUAGGGGGCAAGCGUUGUCCGGAAUCAUUGGGCGUAAAGCGCGCGUAGGUGGCCCGGUAAGUCCGCUGUAAAAGUCCAGGGCUCAACCCUGGAAAGCCGGUGGAUACUGUCGGGCUCGAGUCCGGAAGAGGCGAGUGGAAUUCCUGGUGUAGCGGUGGAAUGCGCAGAUAUCAGGAGGAACACCGAUGGCGAAGGCAGCUUGCUGGGACGGUACUGACACUGAGGCGCGAAAGCGUGGGGAGCGAACAGG